UACGGGGGGAGCAAGCGUUGUUCGGAUUUACUGGGCGUAAAGGGCGCGUAGGCGGCCACCGCAAGUCGGUUGUGAAAUCUCUGGGCUUAACCCAGAAAGGUCAACCGAUACUGCGGGGCUAGAGUGCAGAAGGGGCAACUGGAAUUCUCGGUGUAGCGGUGAAAUGCGUAGAUAUCGAGAGGAACACCUGCGGCGAAGGCGGGUUGCUGGGCUGACACUGACGCUGAAGCGCGAAAGCGAGGGGAGCGAACGGG
rnacentral:rRNA from 1 species